UACGUAGGUGGCGAGCGUUGUCCGGAUUUACUGGGCGUAAAGAGCGCGCAGGCGGUCGUACAAGUCGCGUGUGAAAGCCCCCGGCUCAACUGGGGAGGGUCACGCGAUACUGUUCGACUCGAAGGCAGGAGAGGGUAGUGGAAUUCCCGGUGUAGUGGGUGAAAUGCGUAGAUAUCGGGAGGAACACCAGUGGCGAAGGCGACUACCUGGCCUGUUCUUGACGCUGAGGCGCGAAAGCUAGGGUAGCAACGGG
rnacentral:rRNA from 1 species